rnacentral:sRNA from 1 species
CAGCUUUGUGCUCAGUGCCAGAGAGGCUUCCGGAGGCAGGCAGGGCUGCGUGCAGCCUGGAAGGAUGAGCCAGGCCAGGCGGGAAACGGAAGUCCAGGUAGAAGGGAGGAGCCGAAUUGGGGUACACUCCAUAUGGGCUCAGACAGGUCAGCCUGUGGAAUGAAUAGAGGCCAACAUGCAGGCCAGCCUGGAAUGCGGCAGGAGGGACAAUGGCUUUCCGUUUUUGGGAAUUCUGCCAGUACCUAGAGUGGUGCUUUUUGACUUGGCUUACCUUUUUUCUCAACAUGCAGGCAGCGUCUAUCCCAGACUACCGGGGCCCUAAUGGAGUGUGGACACUGCUUCAGAAAGGGAGAAGCGUUAGUGCUGCGGACCUGAGUGAGGCCGAGCCAACCCUCACCCACAUGAGCAUCACCCGUUUGCAUGAGCAGAAACUGGUGCAGCAUGUGGUGUCUCAGAACUGUGACGGGCUCCACCUGAGGAGUGGGCUGCCGCGCACGGCCAUCUCCGAGCUCCACGGGAACAUGUACAUUGAAGUGAGCAGUCCUGCAGGGACCCGGGGUCUCCACGGGCAGGCGGGUCCCACUCACUGUGCCCUCUUGCCUCUAGGUCUGUACCUCCUGCGUUCCCAACAGGGAGUACGUGCGGGUGUUUGAUGUGACAGAGCGCACCGCCCUCCACAGACACCAGACAGGCCGGACCUGCCACAAGUGUGGGACCCAGCUGCGGGACACCAUUGUGCACUUUGGGG